rnacentral:rRNA from 1 species
UACGGAGGAGGCAAGCGUUAUCCGGAAUUAUUGGGCGUAAAGCGUCCGCAGGUGGCACUUCAAGUCGGUCGUCAAAGACUGGGGCUUAACCCUGGAAAGGCGGUGGAAACUGAAGCGCUAGAGUGCGGUAGGGGUAGAGGGAAUUCCCGGUGUAGCGGUGAAAUGUGUAGAGAUCGGGAAGAACAUCGGUGGCGAAAGCGCUCUACUGGACCGCAACUGACACUCAGGGACGAAAGCUAGGGGAGCGAAUGGG